rnacentral:rRNA from 1 species
AUGCUUGAAAUGGUACAACUGAGCAAGAACUUCUUUUCCGGAGUAAUACCAAAAUGCCUUGGAGCUACCAUGAAGAGCUUAUCGGCACUGCUUCUCUCACAUAACCAGCUAGAGGCAAGGAAUGAUGCCGAUUGGGAUUUCAUUUCUAGCUUGACAAACUGUAGUAUGCUACAGUACCUAUCUCUUGGCCAUAACAAACUACAAGGGGUGAUACCAAAUUCAAUGGCAAACCUUUCCACAAACUUGAGAUAUUUCAGCGUGUCAGGCAACAUGCUACGGGGAAGUAUACCUGAAGGAAUUGGAAACCUUGUCAACUUGCAACACUUGCAGGUGGAUGGUAAUUUCCUAGAUGGAAAAAUUCCUGAAUCGAUUGGCAAUCUUAGGAUCCUGGCUGAAUUAUACUUGUCAAACAAUGGUUUAUCUGGACCAAUUCCACCAAUGCUUGGAAAUCUCACAGCAUUAAUUACACUCGACCUCAGCCAAAAUGUGCUUGCCUGUCCCAUACCAUCCAGCCUUGGAAGCUGCCCUGUGGACACAUUGAGCCUAGCAUUCAAUCAGCUUGUUGGUUCAAUACCAAAAGAGAUUUUCCUCAUAUCGACACUAUCUGAUUCCAUGCAGCUCCAAGGCAAUAAGUUAACUGGGACAAUUCCUCCAGAAGUUAGUAAUCUAGUGAAUCUCGGAUAUCUGGAUGUGUCUGACAACAUGAUAACUGGCUCAGUUCCUGCCUCUCUAGCUCAGUGUGGAAGUUUGCAGUAUCUCAUUAUGGAAGGAAACCUACUUCAGGGCACAAUUCCAGAAUCAAUGUCACAGAUGAAAGGGCUUCUAGUUCUUGAUGUUUCAAGAAACAACUUGUCUGGGGACAUCCCAGUCUUCCUUGGGGACAUGCGGGGGCUCGCUACCCUGAACAUAUCAUUCAACAAUUUUGAGGGUGAAGUUCCAAAACAUGGAUUAUUUCUGAAUGCAAGUGCAACUCUUAUUGAAGGGAACUAUGGCUUAUGUGGAGGUAUCCCCCAAUUUAACUUGCAUCCCUGCUCAAAUCAUACAUCCAAGAAGUGGUCUCACAAGCUUGUCGUGUUGAUCCCAGUAGGCAGUGCACUUCUUUGCAUUAUCUUAGUACUAAUUGUACUAUUUGCACAACAGAAAUUGAGAAACAAGUUUACAAAGAUUAGAAGGGUUCCAUCGCUCCAUAGUGGACAACAUCUGAGGGUUACCUAUGCUGAAUUAGUGAGAGCAACAAGUGGUUUUGCUUCUGAGAACCUCUUAGGCACAGGAAGCUUCGGCUCCGUGUACAAAGGAACAACGAUGAAUGGAGAUCAGGAAGUGAUUGUCGCUAUCAAGGUGCUCAACCUCCAGCAGCGAGGGGCAUCUCAAAGCUUUGUUGCAGAAUGUGAGACUUUAAGAUGCAUCAGACAUCGAAACCUUGUGAAGAUAUUGACCGUCUGCUCAAGUAUUGAUUUCAGGGGUCUAGACUUCAAAGCUCUCGUAUUUGAGUUCAUGCCGAAUGGAGAUCUUGAUCAAUGGCUACACAGCCAUCUCCUGGAAGAUGGGAGCCAUGGCGUGCUCAAUCUUACCCAAAGGAUAGACAUUGCCAUUGAUGUAGGUUCAGCGCUCGAAUACCUUCACCACAAUAAGCCAGUGCCAAUAGUUCAUUGUGAUCUUAAGCCAAGCAAUAUUCUCCUCGAUAAUGACAUGGUUGCCCAUGUGGGUGACUUUGGACUCGCAAGGUUCUUGCAGCAGGAUGAUACUAGCCUCCCAGAAAUAUCAAGUGGUUGGGCUACAAGAAGGGGAACAAUUGGAUAUGCUGCCCCAGAGUACGGUCAAGCAAAUGAAGUCUCGGUCUAUGGCGAUACAUAUAGCUAUGGAAUACUGUUGUUAGAGUUGUUCACUGGCAAAAGGCCAACUGAUGGUGAGUUUCUGCAAGAUCUAAACCUACAUAGUUACGCCGAGGUAGCACUGAGAGACCAAGCCGCCAACCUGGUCGAUCUGUGCUUAUUAUCUUCACUGGAGGAAGGGACAACCAUGAGAGCCGCAUGCAUCACUUCAGUUCUGCAAAUUGGGAUAUUAUGUUCAAAGGAACUGCCAACUGAUCGUAUGCAGAUUGGGGAUGCUACGAGAGAGCUACUGGCGAUCAGAGACAAGUAUCGCACACACCUAUUGAGUGAAGGUGGGUCCAUCUAA